rnacentral:rRNA from 1 species
AUAGAUCCCGGGUAGUCCACGCCCUAAACGAUGAAUGCUAGUCGUCGGGGAGCUCGUCUCUUCGGUGAUGCACUUAACAGAUUAAGCAUUCCGCCUGGGGAGUACGGUCGCAAGAUUAAAACUCAAAGGAAUAGACGGGGGACCCGCACAAGUGGUGGAGCAUGUGGUUUAAUUCGAAGAUACACGAAGAACCUUACCUGGCCUUGACAUGGUAGGAACCCUUAAGAGAUUAGGGGGUGCUAGCUUGCUAGAACCUACACACAGGUGCUGCACGGCUGUCGUCAGCUCGUGUCGUGAGAUGUUGGGUUAAGUCCCGCAACGAGCGCAACCCUCGUCGUUAGUUGCUAACAGUUCGGCUGAGCACUCUAACGAGACUGCCCUCGUAAGGAGGAGGAAGGUGAGGACGACGUCAAGUCAUCAUGGCCCUUACGGCCAGGGCUACACACGUGCUACAAUGGGGCGUACAAAGAGCUGCAAUACCGCGAGGUGGAGCCAAUCUCUUAAGGCGUCUCUCAGUUCGGAUUGUUCU